rnacentral:rRNA from 1 species
AUUGAACGCUGGCGGCGUGCUUAACACAUGCAAGUCGAUCGGUAACAGGUGUAGCAAUACAUGCUGACGAGAGGCGGACGGGUGAGGAACGCUUGGGAAUCUGCCCAUCAGCGGGGGACAACCCGGGGAAACCCGGGCUAAUACCGCAUACGCUCUAUGGAGGAAAGCCGGGGACCGCAAGGCCUGGCACUGAUGGAUGAGCCCAAGUCGGAUUAGCUAGUUGGCGGGGUAACGGCCCACCAAGGCGACGAUCCGUAGCUGGUCUGAGAGGACGAUCAGCCACACUGGAACUGAGACACGGUCCAGACUCCUACGGGAGGCAGCCGAGACAAGGCACACAGGGGAUAGG